rnacentral:rRNA from 1 species
GAUGAACGCUGACAGAAUGCUUAACACAUGUAAGUCUACUUGAACUUCGGUUUGGGUGGCGGACGGGUGAGUAACGCGUAAAGAACUUGCCUCACAGUUAGGGACAACAUUUGGAGACGAAUGCUAAUACCUGAUAUUAUGAUUUUAGGGCAUCCUAAGAUUAUGAAAGCUAUAUGCGCUGUGAGAGAGCUUUGCGUCCCAUUAGCUAGUUGGAGAGGUAACGGCUCACCAAGGCGAUGAUGGGUAGCCGGCCUGAGAGGGUGAACGGCCACAAGGGGACUGAGACACGGCCCUUACUCCUACGGGAGGCAGCAGUGGGGAAUAUUGGACAAUGGACCAAAAGUCUGAUCCAGCAAUUCUGUGUGCACGAUGACGUUUUUCGGAAUGUAAAGUGCUUUCAGUUGGGAAGAAAAAAAUGACGGUACCAACAGAAGAAGUGACGGCUAAAUACGUGCCAGCAGCCGCGGUAAUACGUAUGUCACAAGCGUUAUCCGGAUUUAUUGGGCGUAAAGCGCGUCUAGGUGGUUAUGUAAGUCUGAUGUGAAAAUGCAGGGCUCAACUCUGUAUUGCGUUGGAAACUGCAUGACUAGAGUACUGGAGAGGUAAGCGGAACUACAAGUGUAGAGGUGAAAUUCGUAGAUAUUUGUAGGAAUGCCGAUGGGGAAGCCAGCUUACUGGACAGAUACUGACGCUAAAGCGCGAAAGCGUGGGUAGCAAACAGG